AGGUUUGCUGUCCUUUCGGAGAGCAGCCUAGUGAUUUGUAGACGGUGGCGGGGCAGGGCGGGGCCUGGGGAGAGAGAGGGUGUGAAGAUGGCCACUGACUGGGGUGGGCAAGAGGGCAGAUGGGCCAGCGGGACUCCAGGCCGAGAUCCUGGGAGGACAAUGGGACACUCUGAGUGGGCAAGGCUGGGGCAGAGCGGCUUGGCAGUAGGUCCAUGAAAAUGUCAGCUUUAAGGAGCCUGCAGGGCUCUGGGGACAGAUGGUGGGAGGGUGGUUUGGGCAGGUGUCAGGGGAAAGGUGGGGCCUGGGCAUGGGGAUUCCACACAACCUCUGCUCAGGGUAGAACCGACACCCCAAAGGGCCGAAGAGGCCCGGCUGGGCUGAGAUUUGGGCCUUCUCAGGCACCUGCCCUUCUCCACGGGUCCCGGCUGCUCUCCCUCUCACUCUGCAGAGCUCACCCCAGCCUAGACCGCCCCUCGUACCACACCAAACCCUGGGGGAAGAGGGGGACUCAGGGAAAAGGGAGCCAGGACCCAGCCCUCUGACUUCCUACUCCUUGACAAAAAGUGUGCAAUUGAGUGACCCCCAAAUCCAUGGAGGGAGCCAGAGGGACCUGGGGCAAGAAGGGGAGGAGGCCACGCACUAAAGAGCCUGGCCCCAAGACUGCCGCUGUGUGACCUUGAACAAGUCUCUUCCCCUCUCUGGUCCUGGGUAGCCUCAUCCCCAACAGGAGACUGGCCCCUAUUUCCCAGCCCUAAUCAAUGGUCAGAGACAGUCUGAGGGGACCAACUUGGUCCUCCCACACACCCGAGGGUGAGGACCCCUAGGAUCCUGUGCCCUCCUCCUCACCCUCAGCCUGGGGGUCCCCAGCUCCCAGGAGUUGGGGGGGCUGGGGUGCGAAUGCAGCAUCCCUGCGCUCGGCGCCCCGCCAUUGGCCAGAGAUGAUCUCACCGCCUCCCGGCCUGCGCGCGCCUGAUUGGCCGGUGCGGGAUGCUGCGCUCCGCCGGCGGGCAGUCAUUCAGGCGGGCUGCGAGCGUGUGUGAGCCCGGGCAGCGCAGAGGUGACGCGCCCGGCGUCUCCCAGGGGACUUGGGAGGCAGCAGCGCGGAGACCCCCGGCCAGGGUCUUAACCCCUUCCCACCAGCCCGCGCCCAGCAACCCCCUCCAGCUCCCCUCGGUGUCCAACCCCAGGCAAUGCCAACCCCAGAAGAUGCUCCGCAGAGAGGCGGGUCCGGGUCCUCCCCUCCACCCCUUUCCGUUUAACUCUUUCGCCGCCACGUCGCCGUCCUGCGCUGCCGGCCAGCUGGGCUAGAGAGACCCGCGCCCCGGGCAUGCCCUAGCCCACCUAGAGGGCAGGAGGGUGGCGGGCGCUCUGUCCCCAACCCUGGCACCCGCAGCAUUCCGCCAGCUUCCUGCACCUCACUCAGCGCCCCGGUACAAUGGGGAGCCAGGGUGCCCGGGUCAGCCGCAAGGGCCAGAGUGCUGGCCGGAGGAGCGGCAGGGCGCCGGGGACCCCCUCGCCCCGUGCCCAUGCCCCGGCGCGGCUCCCUGCUGCGGCGGAGGCAGGAGCGGACCGGCAUCCCCGCAGCCCGGAGUCCCAGGAGUAGCCGCCGGACCCUCGCCCCGCGGAGCGCCGGCACCCAGAGCCCCUCCUCUGGGAUGCCGGAUUUACUCGUGGAAAAUGCAUCUGGAAAAUGCAGCUAAUGCCCGUGCUGAUCUCACAAAACUCUUGUGAGCAUUGGCUGUGCUGGUUCACGCAACUUGUCAGGCAUAAAGUAAGUGCUCAAUAAAUGCAUGCUAUUUUCAA